AACGAACGCUGGCGGCAGGCCUAACACAUGCCAGUCGAGCGCCCCGCAAGGGGAGCGGCGGCCGGGUGAGUAACGCGUGGGAACGUACCCUUUGCUACGGAAUAGCCUCGGGAAACUGGGAGUAAUACCGUAUGUGUCCUUCGGGAGAAAGAUUUAUCGGCAAGGGAUCGGCCCGCGUUGGAUUAGGUAGUUGGUGGGGUAAUGGCCUACCAAGCCGACGAUCCAUAGCUGGUUUGAGAGGAUGAUCAGCCACACUGGGACUGAGACACGGCCCAGACUCCUACGGGAGGCAGCAGUGGGGAAUCUUAGACAAUGGGCGCAAGCCUGAUCUAGCCAUGCCGCGUGAGCGAUGAAGGCCUUAGGGUUGUAAAGCUCUUUCAGGGGGGAAGAUGAUGACUGUACCCCCAGAAGAAGCCCCGGCUAACUCCGUG
rnacentral:rRNA from 1 species